CCUACGGGUGGCAGCAGUAGGGAAUCUUUCACAAUGGGCGAAAGCCUGAUGGAGCAACGCCGCGUGAAGGAUGAAGGCCUUCGGGUUGUAAACUGCUUUUAUAAGCGAGAAAUAUGAUGGUACCUUUUGAAUAAGGAUCGUAUAACUACGUGCCAGCAGCCGCGGCGCUACGUAGGAGCCGAGCAUUAUCCGGAGUGACUGGGUGUGACGAGUUGCGUAGGUGGGCUAAUAAGUAGCAAGGGAAAUCUGGUGGCUCAACCAUUCAGACUAUUAGCGAAACUGUUAGGCUCGAGACCGUUAGAGGUAAGUGGAAUUUCUAGUGUAGCGGUGAAAUGCGUAGAUAUUAGGAGGAACACCAAUGGCGAAGGCAGGUUACUGGGACGGUACUGACGCUGAGGCACGAAAGCGUGGGGAGCGAACAGGAUUAGAUACCCCAGUAGUC
rnacentral:rRNA from 1 species